UGGGGAAUAUUGGACAAUGGGCGAAAGCCUGAUCCAGCCAUGCCGCGUGAGUGAUGAAGGUCUUCGGAUCGUAAAGCUCUGUGGGAAGGGACGAAAAAGCCGGUCCUAAUACGACCGGCCUUGACGGUACCUUCUUAGCAAGCACCGGCUAACUCCGUGCCAGCAGCCGCGGUAAUACGGAGGGUGCAAACGUUGCUCGGAAUCAUUGGGCGUAAAGCGCACGUAGGCGGUCCGCUAAGUCGGGUGUGAAAUCCCUCAGCUCAACCGAGGAAGGGCAUCCGAAACUGACGGGCUUGAGUACGGAAGAGGGUCUCGGAAUUCCCGGUGUAGAGGUGAAAUUCGUAGAUAUCGGGAGGAACACCAGUGGCGAAGGCGGAGACCUGGGCCGAUACUGACGCUGAGGUGCGAAAGCGUGGGGAGCAAACAG
rnacentral:rRNA from 1 species